GAUGAACGCUGGCGGCGUGCCUAAUACAUGCAAGUCGAGCGAACAGACGAGGAGCUUGCUCCUCUGACGUUAGCGGCGGACGGGUGAGUAACACGUGGAUAACCUACCUAUAAGACUGGGAUAACUUCGGGAAACCGGAGCUAAUACCGGAUAAUAUAUUGAACCGCAUGGUUCAAUAGUGAAAGACGGUUUUGCUGUCACUUAUAGAUGUAUCCGCGCCGCAUUAGCUAGUUGGUAAGGUAACGGCUUACCAAGGCGACGAUGCGUAGCCGACCUGAGAGGGUGAUCGGCCACCCUGGAACUGAGACACGGUCCAGACUCCUACGGGAGGCAGCAGUAGGGAAUCUUCCGCAAUGGGCGAAAGCAUGACGGAGCAACGCCGCGUGAGUGAUGAAGGUCUUCGGAUCGUAAAACUCUGUUAUUAGGGAAGAACAAAUGUGUAAGUAACUAUGCACGUCUUGACGGUACCUAAUCAGAAAGCCACGGCUAACUACGUG
rnacentral:rRNA from 1 species